rnacentral:rRNA from 1 species
UAGGGAAUCUUCGGCAAUGGACGAAAGUCUGACCGAGCAACGCCGCGUGAGUGAAGAAGGUUUUCGGAUCGUAAAACUCUGUUGUUAGAGAAGAACAAGGACGUUAGUAACUGAACGUCCCCUGACGGUAUCUAACCAGAAAGCCACGGCUAACUACGUGCCAGCAGCCGCGGUAAUACGUAGGUGGCAAGCGUUGUCCGGAUUUAUUGGGCGUAAAGCGAGCGCAGGCGGUUUCUUAAGUCUGAUGUGAAAGCCCCCGGCUCAACCGGGGAGGGUCAUUGGAAACUGGGAGACUUGAGUGCAGAAGAGGAGGGUGGAAUUCCAUGUGUAGCGGGGAAAUGCGUAGAUAUAUGGAGGAACACCAGUGGCGAAGGCGGCUCUCUGGUCUGUCACUGACGCUGAGGCUCGAAAGCGUGGGGAGCAAACAGG